AUAUCAUUUUAUUCAGGGGAAACAGGGCUUUCAUUUAAUAUCAAAUAUUUAGCUAUGAAACAUAAUUUAAUAUGAAAAAAAUGGGAGAAAAUACGAUUUUUUUGGAUUUUUUUUAGUUCUACAUGACAUUUUAACGGUCAGUGUCAUAAUACUGUUUGCUUUUACUGCAAUAAAAUACACAUAUUUGUAUUCAGCAAAGUCUCACGUGUAAAACAGUACCCCCUAUGUACAGGUUUUAU